CCUACGGGUGGCAGCAGUGAGGAAUAUUGGUCAAUGGACGAGAGUCUGAACCAGCCAAGUAGCGUGAAGGAUGACUGCCCUAUGGGUUGUAAACUUCUUUUAUAUGGGAAUAAAAUGUUCCACGUGUGGGAUUUUGUAUGUACCAUAUGAAUAAGGAUAGGCUAACUCCGUGCCAGCAGCCGAGGUAAUACGGAGGAUCCGAGCGUUAUCCGGAUUUAUUGGGUUUAAAGGGAGCGUAGGUGGAUUGUUAAGUCAGUUGUGAAAGUUUGCGGCUCAACCGUAAAAUUGCAGUUGAAACUGGCAGUCUUGAGUACAGUAGAGGUGGGCGGAAUUCGUGGUGUAGCGGUGAAAUGCUUAGAUAUCACGAAGAACUCCGAUUGCGAAGGCAGUUCACUGGACUGCAACUGACACUGAGGCUCGAAAGUGUGGGUAUCAAACAGGAUUAGAUACCCCAGUAGUC
rnacentral:rRNA from 1 species